UACGUAGGGUGCGAGCGUUGUCCGGAAUUACUGGGCGUAAAGAGCUCGUAGGUGGUUUGUCGCGUUGUCCGUGAAAACUCACAGCUCAACUGUGGGCGUGCGGGCGAUACGGGCAGACUGGAGUACUGCAGGGGAGACUGGAAUUCCUGGUGUAGCGGUGGAAUGCGCAGAUAUCAGGAGGAACACCGAUGGCGAAGGCAGAUCUCUGGGACGGUACUGACGCUGAGACGCGAAAGCGUGGGGAGCGAACAGG
rnacentral:rRNA from 1 species